AGUAAACAAGGGCAAAAUCACUGAAAAGUGAUGACGCAAAGCUAUAGGGGCCUCCGCCGUUAAGGCAAGGUCAGCCAGCUACCAUC
rnacentral:ncRNA from 2 species